rnacentral:misc_RNA from 1 species
AAAGUGCGAUAUGUAAUGCGAUUUGCAUGAAUCUGUGAGUCAUUUAAUUUUUGAACGCAACUUGCGCCUCUUUGGAGGCAUGUCUGUUUGAGGGCCGCAAAAAAAGAUGCAGCAAUGCGAAAUGACUUUUGGCGAGGUCACCACGUGUAUCAAAAUUUUUGAUGCAAGAGGACGACACGCAAAGUUUAAAUAUAGCAAGUUAAUGGUCAUGUAUAUAGACUAGCCCGAGUGCUAAGCAUUCUUGGUUCUAGGAAUAUAAUGAUUAUUGAGAGGGAAAAGAAAAAAAGUGAAAAACGAUUUGAAUUCCUAAUCUAUUUUCGAAUGGCCUCAAAUCAGUCAAGAUUACCCGCUGAACUUAA